GAAAUGCGAUACGUAAUGUGAAUUGCAGAAUUCAGUGAAUCAUCGAAUCUUUGAACGCACCUUGCGCCCCUUGGUAUUCCGAGGGGCACACCCGUUUGAGUGUCGUGAACACCCUCAACCUUCUUGGUUUCUUGACCGGGAAGGCUUGGACUUUGGAGGUUUUCCUUGCUGGCCUCGCUUUGAAGCCAGCUCCUCCUAAACGAAUUAGUGGGGUCCGCUUUGCCGAUCCUUGACGUGAUAAGCAUCCUUCUACGUCUUGGGUCUUGCACUGUUGCCCUGGAACCUGCUUCCAAUGGUCUUCGAAAGGAGACGAUGUUCGAGUUGCAUCAUGACUCGACCUCAAUGACCUUGACCUCAAAUCGGGUGAGACUACCCGCUGAACUUAA
rnacentral:rRNA from 1 species